rnacentral:rRNA from 1 species
AUGCCGCCGAGCCCUGGUGCUGAUACCCAGAAGUUUGUGAUGGGAGACAUGGUUACGGAAUUGGACGAGGCAGGAGUAAGAAAUGCAGAGAACUCCACGGAACAGAGGGAGGCAUACAAUGUAGUUGACGAUGAAGGUUCCCCUGUACCUCUACUAAUGUUGCCUAGUGGAAAGAUUAAAUACCUAACACAGGAACCUGUUGGCAACCAAUCAAUGACAGAAGGAAGACUGCAACCAGCCGGUGAUAAUUACCAGGAACCUGUUGGCAAACAAUCAAUGACAGAAGGAACACUACAACCAGCUGGUGAUAAUGAUCAGGACCCAUCUUCAGAUAGUGUUGAAAAGAAUACAGAAGGACUACUGGCAGAUGGACAGGAUCAACAAACCAACUCAGUUUACCAUCCACUGCAGCAAGCCGAAGAAGAAAACCAGUUACAUGAUAAUGUGGAAAGCAACGAAAUGCUAAGGAACAAUAGCAGCAGUGAAACUGAUUCAGACAGCAGCUCAGGGAGCGACUCAGAUAGUGAAGUCGGAAAAUACUUCUAUCCUCAAAUUGAGCAAUUGGAGAUGGCAAAACAACCAGAGCCUGGAAUGAAAUUCCAAACCCUUGAAGAUGCGCACAGGUUUUAUAAUACAUAUGCUCUCCUAACAGGUUUUGAGGCAAAGCGCGGUACAAAUUACAUGAGGAAGAAGUUUCACCUCAUAUGCAACAGGAGUGGUAAAUCGAGGGCAACUCCGGACCUGCAGAGGAAGCGGAAGAGAAAAUCUAUAGAGAAGACAAAUUGCCAAGCCAAGGUAAUAGUGAAGCUCACUAAAGGCCAAUGGGAGUUCACAACAGUUCGUAAUGAGCAUAACCAUCCGCUCUGUCCAAGUGCUUCCCUCACAAAAUUCUACUUGAGCCACAAACACAUAUCAACUGAAGAAAGGUCAUUUCUGAAAGUUCUGCAACGAACUAGGAUACCUCCAAAUAAAGUUAUGAAGAUUUUUAGGAGAAUGAGAGGCAGCUUUGGAAGCAUACCAUUCAAGAAAAAAGAUGGGACCAAUUUACUAUGUGCAGAACAACAUAGAAAAGAGAACUCAGAUGUUGGAAGAAUGUUGAUGUACUUCAAAGAAAAGGAGCUUCAGGAUCCAAGUUUUCAAUGCAUGAAGCAAACAGAUGAAGACAACAUAGUUCGGAGUGUUUUCUGGACUGAUGCGAGGUCAAGGAUGGAUUAUGAGAUUUUUGGAGAUUUCCUGUUGUUUGAUACUACCUAUACCACAGAUAGGCAUAACAUGCUAUUUGCUCCUAUUAUUGGAUUAAAUAACCAUGGGAAAACCCUCUUGUUAGGAUGCGCCUUGUUACAUGACGAGAGCACUGAAACUUACAAAUGGAUGUUCGAAACACUUUUGCAUGUGAUGGAAGACAAAAUGCCAGUAUCAAUUAUAACAAACCAGGAUGAAGCUAUGGCAAAAGCAAUUGGAGAGGUCAUGCCACAAGUAAGGCAUCGGUUGUGCAAAUGGGAUGUACUGGAAAAGGCACAGCAAAAUAUUUCAGCCUUCAUAGCAGAAAGUGGCAACAUAAAAGCAGACCUGGAUAGCUUGGUUGACAACUCACUGACAGAAAAAGAAUUUGAAGAAGGGUGGGAUGCACUCAUUGAGAGAUACGGUGCAAGUGAAAACAAGUACCUACAAAUCUUGUGGCAAAGAAGGAAAAACUGGGUGCCUGUUUAUUUCAGAGAAGAUUUCUAUCCAUUUGUCCAAUCACAUGGAUGUGACAAAGGGAUGAACUUGUUAUUCAAUGACUAUGUGCUUUCUAUUGACAGAAUAGAGAAGUUCAUUGAAAGAUAUGAGGAGAUAUAUAAGAAUAUAACUAAAACAGAUGAAGAAGAUAGACUGCAAACAGGAACUGUACCUUCAUGCUUUUCAUUGCAGCCAAUAGAAAAGCAUGCAGCUGAUAUUUACACAAGGCAAAUAUUUCUGAAAGUACAGAGAGAACUUCUCCACUCUACCGCUUUCAACGUGCAGGAGGUCCAAAGAGGGGCUGUAUACCGACUAAACAAGGUUUUCAACUAUGAGAAUCCAGAGUUUGAUCGAAAUAACUUUGAAGUGCAGGUUGAAUCUGGCACCAAUGCAUUCAAAUGCCAGUGCGCAAAGUUUACCAGGGAUGGAGUACUGUGCUGCCACAUAUUCAGACUUUUCACACAGUUUGGAAUCAAUCAAAUACCAGAGCAGUACAUAGUGCCCAGAUGGACUGAAAAAUUCAGAGAAGAGAAGGAGAAACAGUACAAGGAAAAAUGCUCCGAGCAGAUGGACACUACAAUGAGAUACACAAAUUUUAUGACUAAAAUGGCUGACCUCGGCAAAACAAUAUGCAGCGAUGGCGCAAAAUACGACGCAUUCAUGCUUGAAGUCGACAAGAUUCAGGAGAACUUCGCAACGGCACAAAAAUAA